rnacentral:rRNA from 1 species
CUACGGGGUGCUGCAGUGGGGAAUAUUGGACAAUGGGGGCAACCCUGAUCCAGCCAUGCCGCGUGUGUGAAGAGGGCCUUUUGGUUGUAAAGCACUUUAAGCAGUGAAGAAGACCAUAUGGUUAAUACCCAUAUGCGAUGACAUUAGCUGCAGAAUAAGCACCGGCUAACUCUGUGCCAGCAGCCGCGGUAAUACAGAGGGUGCAAGCGUUAAUCGGAAUUACUGGGCGUAAAGCGAGCGUAGGUGGCUUGAUAAGUCAGAUGUGAAAUCCCCGGGCUUAACCUGGGAACUGCAUCUGAUACUGUUAAGCUAGAGUAGGUGAGAGGGAAGUAGAAUUCCAGGUGUAGCGGUGAAAUGCGUAGAGAUCUGGAGGAAUACCGAUGGCGAAGGCAGCUUCCUGGCAUCAUACUGACACUGAGGUUCGAAAGCGUGGGUAGCAAACAGGAUUAGAUACCCUCGUAGUC